GCAAGGAAGAAGUUCCAGAAGUUAAGGAUCGACUUAGAAUGCUCUGAGAAGGUGCUUAAGUCAGAACAGAAAGCAAAAGCCAAUCUCUCGGCAAAAAAGCAAAUGAAGAAACCUUUGAACCGGACUGUGCAGGAACCUGUAGGCUCUGAUUUUUCCUCAGGUGCCACUCUUGCCACUACUGGUGAUCUCCAGAAUGGUUUAAUUCCUGCCCAAGCUAGUGGCUG
rnacentral:misc_RNA from 1 species